GUCAAGUAAUUAAGUGCAUGUGGUGGAUGCCUUGGCAGUCAGAGGCGAUGAAAGACGUGAUAGCCUGCGAAAAGCUCCGGGGAGGCGGCAAAUAUCCUUUGAUCCGGAGAUGUCUGAAUGGGGGAACCCACCUACUUUAAGGUAGGUAUUGCAACAUGAAUACAUAGUGUUGCAAGGCGAACGAGGGGAAGUGAAACAUCUCAGUACCCUUAGGAAAAGAAAUCAAUUGAGAUUCCCUCAGUAGCGGCGAGCGAACGGGGAUCAGCCCAUUAAGUUAUGUGUGUUUUAGUGGAACGCUCUGGGAAGUGCGAACGUAGAGGGUGAUAUUCCCGUACACGAAAGGGCACACAUAAUGAUGACGAGUAGGGCGAGGCACGUGAAACCUUGUCUGAAUAUGGGGGGACCAUCCUCCAAGGCUAAAUACUCCUGACUGACCGAUAGUGAACCAGUACCGUGAGGGAAAGGCGAAAAGAACCCCUGUGAGGGGAGUGAAAUAGAUCCUGAAACCGCAUGCAUACAAGCAGUGGGAGCACCUUCGUGGUGUGACUGCGUACCUUUUGUAUAAUGGGUCAGCGACUUAUAUUCAGUAGCGAGGUUAACCGUAUAGGGGAGCCGUAGAGAAAUCGAGUCUUAAUAGGGCGUUUAGUUGCUGGGUAUAGACCCGAAACCAGGCGAUCUAUCCAUGAGCAGGUUGAAGGUUGGGUAACACUAACUGGAGGACCGAACCCACUGUCGUUGAAAAGCCAGGGGAUGACUUGUGGAUAGGGGUGAAAGGCUAAUCAAGCCUGGUGAUAGCUGGUUCUCCCCGAAAGCUAUUUAGGUAGCGCCUCGGACGAAUACCAUAGGGGGUAGAGCACUGUUUCGGCUAGGGGGUCAUCCCGACUUACCAAACCGAUGCAAACUCCGAAUACCUAUGAGUACUAUCCGGGAGACAGACUGCGGGUGCUAACGUCCGUAGUCAAGAGGAAAACAAUCCAGACCGCCAGCUAAGGCCCCAAAAUCAUAGUUAAGUGGGAAACGAUGUGGGAAGGCAUAGACAGCUAGGA
rnacentral:rRNA from 1 species